AAUGGUCAAUUUUGAACAAUAAAUCAUUGGAGAACAAAUACUAGACUUUCAUAUGUUUACUCUUUAUACUUUAUAUUUAAUGUUAUAUAUACUAAAAAUAAAUAAAGAUUCUUUUAAAUACAAUCAUAUCUUGUUAGAGGUAAGUGUUUGUUUGUCAUCCACCUUAUCCUCGUGAGUCAAACCAGAUCCAUUGCUUUGCUCCGGCGACCGGCCGGCGUGUUAGCGCAUGUGCCGGUGCCGGAAGCACAUCUCUUCUCCCUCUCAGCUUGUUUUGAUCUUUGCUUCUCCAUGGUUUCUCACUCUUCGCCGUCUUGCCUCUGGUUUUGUCGCAAAUGAAGCUCCAAUUAAGAUCUUGCUCGUGGGGAGACUCGACGCCGGCUUGUCUCUGCUUGCGGUUGGAACCAUGGCAUGGCAGAGAGAUGGUCGCUGUUGGCAGGAGUCGACUUUUCAGGGUUUUACAAGGACCAUUUUUCUCUUUCUUUUCUUCUUGUAGAAUCUUCGGCGCGUGGAUGCGGUGGUUGGACACCGUUCUCGAUUCAGGUGGAGGGUCUGUAGAUCUGCUUUCUUUGGUCGCUUAUGGGGUGUUUUUUGGCAGCAGGUUUGGUGGUUAAUUACAGUGUCAUGGUGAGCUUCAACUUGUAUGUCGGUGGCUGAGGGCUUUGGAGUUUAACUUUGCUCGAAGACCUGCCUAGCCAAAUGAUUCUACAUGGUGCCGGAGCCGGCGGUGAUGGCUUGGGGAAGCUUAUUGUGACACAAAUCUCAGUCGUUGUCUAUGGCCCCUCCGAUGUGUUAUGUGCUGCCUCCCUCUCAUCUGACUUACCUCUUCCUAGUGUGUAUUCGAUCCAACAUUUGAAGCAAUGUUCAGGAUUCUUGGGUUAACUAAGCUCAUGCGCUAUUGUUUUGGAUCGUUAGUCACCGGUUCAAUUUGGGACAGUAAUUGAUUUUCCGACCUUCGGUUCUUAGAUGGGACGACUAGGGUUGAAUGGAGUGGUUUCAGGAGUCUGUCUCUUAUUCAUUUUUGGUGACUCUAGUUGAAGAAAAAGAAUUUCCCAGUACCGUGAGGAUUCGCUUGAUAACCCAUGAGCCUAGGUGAUAGGAAAGGAAUAGUUGGAGAUGGCGGUUCCCCUCAAUGCUUAUGGUCUGUUUUGAUUACUUGGGUUUUGGUCCGGUUGAAGAAGGAGUCUCAGGUGGUCCUCAAAGCUGUGUGUUGGCGCCUAUUUUGAGAAGGAAGUGAGAUGCAGUGGUUGGCUUGACUUUCGUUUAGUCAGCGUCGUUGGCCGCGGAUCUAUGGUGAUUAUGAGAGAUUGGUGACGGUCUCUUGAGCCUAGAUUUUUUUCCUCCCGCUUUUUUUUGGCUAACUUUUCCAUGUAUCCUAGUGAUGAUCUUAAUCUAUUUGCGAGGGUUACUGUUUCUCCGACAGCUAGACGGAAGUUUUGUUCUGAUACCCAUGUAUGGGUUGCGUUUUAUUUAUAUAUGCAAGAGUAUUUAAGAAAAAAAAACAUA